CGCAAAUGAAAGGGUUGCUUGUCAAGACAGGGAAAGAAGGAAACAGUGCUAUUGGCCCAGCUUUUACUUGUAUUAUACAACUUCUAGAGGAUCCUAAGAUGCAAACCUAUCUGGACCUCCAAGAGACCAGCAUUUCCAUAACUGUGCAUACCAUACCUAGAUAUUAACUACUUCCUCCUAAUUUGGUGUCUUCUGCAAAUUUGAUAAACAUGCCACCUAUUCCAUCAUCCAAGUAAUUGAUAAUGGUGUUGAACAGCACUAGGCCCAGAAGAGAACCCCAUGGCACUCCACUAGUCAUGUCUCUCCAGGAU